AAUGAACGCUGGCGGCAUGCCUAACACAUGCAAGUCGAACGGAUGCAUGGGGCUUGCUCCUGGAUGCAGCGGCGGACGGGUGGGUAAUGCCUAGGAAUCUGCCUGGUAGUGUGGGAUAGCGUCCGGAAACGGGCGCUAAUACCGCAUACGUCCUGUUGGAGAACGGGGGGGAUCUUCAGAUUUCUCGCUCAGGGAUGAGGCUACGUAGGAUUAGCUAGUUGGUGGGGUAAAGGCCUACCAAGGCGACGAUCCUUAGCUGGUCUGAGAGGAUGAUCAGCCACACUGGGACUGAGACACGGCCCAGACUCCUACGGGAGGCAGGAGUGGGGAAUAUUGGACAAUGGGCGAAAGCCUGAUCCAGCAAUGCCGCGUGAGUGAUGAAGGCCUUAGGGUUGUAAAGCUCGUUUACCCGGGAUGAUAAUGACAGUACCGGGAGAAUAAGCCCCGGCUAACUCCGUG
rnacentral:rRNA from 1 species